UAAAAAUUCAGUCUCUGGACAACGGUCCUCUAGGUCAGUCGUGCCGUCCUCGUGCCAGUAAUAAAGAGUUCUAGUUAAAGAUUUUUUACUUACACAUGUGUUCACCAAGAGGCCAGACCUGGGGACCAGAGUUGACUUCAACAAGAACAGUCGGGGCGCAAACGAGCAGAACACAAAGAUCAGCCGCACUCAGAUUGACCAAGAAGAUAUUAGUGCUGUUUCUCAUAUCCUUUCCACGGAGUACAACCAGUGUUUACGUAUGAGAGAAACUCACCAUGAGAUUGCCAAUUAUACCCAGUACCAUGACGACAAUUACUAUGACCAUAGACGUCACACGAAUGUAUGUUGGAAGCAUAUAUGGACUGGCUGUCUCAUUCACAGGAUCAAGCACUGAAACUUUAUGAUGUACUGAUAAGUAAAUAACAGGAAAUGUGUUGAACUAAAUCAGUACGACGUAUUAAUUUUAAGAAAUUUGAAAAAAAAUCGCAUGCUGACGCCAAAAUUUUUUGUAAAAAAAAUGCGACAAAAAAAAGAUUUUGUCUAGAACUUUGUCUUGAAAAUUAUUAAAAAAUGAAUAGAAAUAAUGGAGAAUUUUGAACAAAAGUUCUGUAUGAUAAACAUAGAAAUGUUGAAGGAAAAACAAAAUUUUUGUCGCGAAUUUCUUCACAUCGCUGUCUCUGUCAAACUCCAGAGCAUCAAUUUAAUUCUCCAGUUUCAAAUCGGUGCCAGAAAUAUUUCUAUGUCAUUUCUCAAUAUUAUUGAAAGCUUUGGGAGUAUUAUUCUGGCAUGACGUCCACUUUUAUUCUUUGAACACACUCAUAGUAAGUAUUGGUCCUUGUAUUGGAUAUCGGGGGAAGAAAAAACUUAUCCCAUUGAGAAUAAACAGUUGCAGAAAGUUGAAUGUCAUGACAGUAAUUCGAUUAAAUCCCCACCCAGUCAUUUCCGCAAUCUACAAGAGUUAAUUAAAUAAAUUAUUUGUUAUUAAAAGAGAUUAAUAUAUUGAUGGAUCGUGGACUAUAAGCAUUAAUCAUAAAAAUGAUUAAUGGAAACUGACAAACCAUAAUAUCUCAGAAACUUAUGAUAAGGUAUAAGUUGGGAGUUUUUGAGAUAGCGAUCAUCGAGACAAAUAUUUUCAGGAAAGAAAAAAUUAUAUCGUGUUAGUAGUUUAUUAGAUAUCGACGAAAAUAUCUUUCGAUUCAUAAUUGCAUAUCUUAUAAAAUAAUUAUCCUGUGGGUACCGAAAAAUUGUUCACUUAGUAUUAAGUCGUGAAGUGAAGAAUUUACAGUUUAGAAAGUAUUUUAGUAGAAAUACGCGUAAGAGGACAAUUUACCCAUCGAUUAAGCGAGAAGACCCAUAAUCCCCUCCAAAGUGAGAGUAAAUGUGGGACCCAGAGUGAUGUCGGAAGGGUAUCAAGGAAAAUUUCAGUUUGGAAUCGACCGUUCGAGGUGAUACAAAGAGUUAAAACAUUUAAGACAUGUUGCAUGUCAACAGUGGCAACAUUGAACAACUCAUGAACUCCUAAACUCAUGAGUGCAUGUACUUCUCCACAUGUUUACGCUAUUUUCCUCCUUUUUUUAGCCCAAGGGAUGCGAAUAGACUUUAUCUCCACGUGCAGCUUCCUGGCUAAUGUUAAGAAACCUUGAAUCUUCAAUUUGAUACUAAAACUCAUUUUCGGGUCAUUUUCUGAGUAAAAAAUGCAGAAACUGAUCUGAAUGAUGAGGUGCCUGAAUAUAAUUCAUCAAAACGAACAAGUUUCAAAUCCCUAGGCUUGCAGCUUGCAAGCAUGACCUUGAAAGCCGAAAAAAAUGCAUGAAUCAAAUGUCCCUGUCGGAGCUUUCAUUUCGAAUGUUUAUCAAAAAUUAAUUUAGAGAUGGAAUGAAUAGGUCUUUGUAGGAUUCGUAUUUAUUUUAUUUUGAUGUUUCCACUUGAGAGUAGAAAAUAUUUUUAUGAGAGAAAAUUCUAGGAAGUUUGGGGGUGAUGUGUAUGCUCUGUUUUCUUGGAUGUACAUAUACAGAGGUGCAUGAGUGGGACUAUUUUUGAUAAGAGACAUCAGGCCCAAGGUGUUGUAUCCCUUUUAGUCUUUUAGUCAGUUCCUUUAAGGAAAUGAAGCAGAGCAGUUAUGCCUUCCCAGCGUAUAAAAUAAAAUAAUAAAACGAAAUUCACACGUCUAAUCAUUUACAAUUAUCCUAUUCCCAAUAGUCCCUCUCGAAACCCUACGACUAAUGUUUAAAAACAUUUCCUGUCACUUGCCCCCUUCAGGAAAUAUUCAGGUGGAUUAUUUCAAAUGAGACAUCUUGGAAUGCAGGAAAAACUUAAGAAUAAAACUGGGGAAUGGAAUUUUUGUCGACUGCUCAUUUGAUUGCGUUUAAUUAG